rnacentral:rRNA from 1 species
GUCGAGCGGCGGACGGGUGAGUAAUGCCUGGGAAAUUGCCCUGAUGUGGGGGAUAACCAUUGGAAACGAUGGCUAAUACCGCAUAAUAGCUUCGGCUCAAAGAGGGGGACCUUCGGGCCUCUCGCGUCAGGAUAUGCCCAGGUGGGAUUAGCUAGUUGGUGAGGUAAUGGCUCACCAAGGCGACGAUCCCUAGCUGGUCUGAGAGGAUGAUCAGCCACACUGGAACUGAGACACGGUCCAGACUCCUACGGGAGGCAGCAGUGGGGAAUAUUGCACAAUGGGCGCAAGCCUGAUGCAGCCAUGCCGCGUGUAUGAAGAAGGCCUUCGGGUUGUAAAGUACUUUCAGCAGUGAGGAAGACGGGUACGUUAAUAGCGUGCUCGUUUGACGUUAGCUGCAGAAGAAGCACCGGCUAACUCCGUGCCAGCAGCCGCGGUAAUACGGAGGGUGCGAGCGUUAAUCGGAAUUACUGGGCGUAAAGCGCAUGCAGGUGGUUUGUUAAGUCAGAUGUGAAAGCCCGGGGCUCAACCUCGGAAUAGCAUUUGAAACUGGCAGACUAGAGUACUGUAGAGGGGGGGUAGAAUUUCAGGUGUAGCGGUGAAAUGCGUAGAGAUCUGAAGGAAUACCGGUGGCGAAGGCGGCCCCCUGGACAGAUACUGACACUCAGAUGCGAAAGCGUGGGGAGCAAACAGGAUUAGAUACCCUGGUAGUCCACGCCGUAAACGAUGUCUACUUGGAGGUUGUGGCCUUGAGCCGUGGCUUUCGGAGCUAACGCGUUAAGUAGACCGCCUGGGGAGUACGGUCGCAAGAUUAAAACUCAAAUGAAUUGACGGGGGCCCGCACAAGCGGUGGAGCAUGUGGUUUAAUUCGAUGCAACGCGAAGAACCUUACCUACUCUUGACAUCCAUAGAACUUUCCAGAGAUGGAUUGGUGCCUUCGGGAACUAUGAGACAGGUGCUGCAUGGCUGUCGUCAGCUCGUGUUGUGAAAUGUUGGGUUAAGUCCCGCAACGAGCGCAACCCUUAUCCUUGUUUGCCAGCGAGUAAUGUCGGGAACUCCAGGGAGACUGCCGGUGAUAAACCGGAGGAAGGUGGGGACGACGUCAAGUCAUCAUGGCCCUUACGAGUAGGGCUACACACGUGCUACAAUGGCGCAUACAGAGGGCGGCCAACUUGCGAAAGUGAGCGAAUCCCAAAAAGUGCGUCGUAGUCCGGAUUGGAGUCUGCAACUCGACUCCAUGAAGUCGGAAUCGCUAGUAAUCGUAGAUCAGAAUGCUACGGUGAAUACGUUCCCGGGCCUUGUACACACCGCCCGUCACACCAUGGGAGUGGGCUGCAAAAGAAGUGGGUAGUUUAACCUUCGGGGGGACGCU